UACGGAGGGUGCAAGCGUUAUCCGGAUUCACUGGGUUUAAAGGGUGCGUAGGUGGGUAUGUAAGUCAGUGGUGAAAUCCCCGAGCUUAACUUGGGAACUGCCGUUGAUACUAUAUAUCUUGAAUAUCGCGUAGGUAAGCGGAAUAUGUCAUGUAGCGGUGAAAUGCUUAGAUAUGACAUAGAACACCAAUUGCGAAAGGCAGCUUACUUCACGAUCAUUGACACUGAGGCACGAAAGCGUGGGGAGCAAACAGG
rnacentral:rRNA from 1 species